UACAGAGGGUGCAAGCGUUAAUCGGAAUUACUGGGCGUAAAGCGUGCGUAGACGGUUGCGUAAGUCAGAUGUGAAAGCCCCGGGCUCAACCUGGGAAUUGCAUUUGAGACUGCGUAGCUAGGGUGCGGAAGAGGGAGGCGGAAUUUCCGGUGUAGCGGUGAAAUGCGUAGAUAUCGGAAGGAACACCAGUGGCGAAAGCGGCUUCCUGGUCCAGCACCGACGUUCAGGCACGAAAGCGUGGGGAGCAAACAGG
rnacentral:rRNA from 1 species